AUUGAACGCUGGCGGCAUGCUUUACACAUGCGAGUCGAACGGCAGCGCGGGGCAACCUGGCGGCGAGUGGCGAACGGGUGAGUAAUAUAUCGGAACGUACCCAGAAGUGGGGGAUAACGUAGCGAAAGUUACGCUAAUACCGCAUACGAUCUACGGAUGAAAGUAGGGGACCGCAAGGCCUUAUGCUUUUGGAGCGGCCGAUAUCUGAUUAGCUAGUUGGUGAGGUAAAGGCUCACCAAGGCGACGAUCAGUAGCUGGUCUGAGAGGACGACCAGCCACACUGGAACUGAGACACGGUCCAGACUCCUACGGGAGGCAGCAGUGGGGAAUUUUGGACAAUGGGCGCAAGCCUGAUCCAGCAAUGCCGCGUGAGUGAAGAAGGCCUUCGGGUUGUAAAGCUCUUUUGUCAGGGAAGAAACGGUAGAGGCUAAUAUCCUUUGCUAAUGACGGUACCUGAAGAAUAAGCACCGGCUAACUACGUG
rnacentral:rRNA from 1 species